rnacentral:lncRNA from 1 species
GGGAAGUCGGGGCUUUCAGAAGCUGUACGCUUAGUUGCUGCCCUCUUGCGCAUCUUAUCUACGGGUUUCACCUUUCCAACUCUGCUGUUGGGUUCUGCACUAGCUUCCAUACUUGGAGACUGAGGAGGAGAGGAACGUAGUGAAAGGAAGGAAACUAGAACUGAGACUGUUCGUCACUGAGGGACCUUUGUCUGAGAGACGGACUCUUAACUCUGUAGUAGUAUCUUGGCCUCUAACCUGCUCUUAACCCGUCCUUUUUUUUUUCCUCGCUAGUCCUCUCCCCAUAUUCUCACUUUCUCUCUGGUCUUAACGAAAGGAAAUACGGCAAGAUGAGCUAUGCAGAAAGGUGCUACAUAACGUGAUGUGUGAACCAGAAAGAACUGAAAAACAGUGAUAUCAGAAAGCCUUCUGCAAGAACACGUGCAUAAACUUUGAUUCUGUCAGUACUUCAUUUCUGUCCUACAAUAUAGCAGGAAGAAGUUCUUAAAAGCUUGCAAAAAUCAUCUGCCCUUAGGGGGUGGUUGCCACCUGUCGAGACAACCCCACCACGUAGUGAGGAGGUGAGUGGAAGGUCUGUAUGUCAUUGGCUUUAACCCUCUACAAGGCCAAGCUCCAGGAUCGGAAAGCUACUGCCUGCUUCAUUUAAAUGCGUGACUUGGGCAGUUCUUUAAUAACCUGUAAGUGUUAAAAGUAGACUCUGAAAACAGGCUGGUUGGUCUGUUUCACUUCAUUUUCUGUUGCUAAACUAUAACAUAGCUUGGUUCCAUAUACUUCCACAAGGGAACUAGAAAAGAUACUUCUCUAGGGGUCACAAUGUUCCAAAUACAAACCAAAACAAACUCAGGAUUCCUUGUGUCAUUUUAAUUUAAUUGAAAAUUAUAGUGAACAAAGAAUAAUCUCCCCCCCCCCCCCAAUGAACAAAGGUAAACCUUUCCAAUGAUAAGAUUAGCCAUAGUCAAAAUAAAGAAGAGCUUUAUUUUGGCUGUGGUUCUGGGCAAAGUUCUGGCCGAUGGCCUUCUUGCUGGCAGUGCCCUGAAGCAAAGCAGAAUAUCACCUGGCAAGAAACAGGGAGCUCAUAAUAGACCUAGCCAAGCUCCCUUUUAUAGCAGACCUGCUGUCUGGACAGCCAUUAACCCAUCAAUACAUUAAUCAGGUGAGUGGAUUAAGCUAUUCAUGAGGGCAGAGCCCUAAUCAACUCUUAAUGGUUCCACCUCUUAACAUCUUAUGAUGGGGACAAGCCAUAUUCAAACCAUAACAGGCUGGAACCUUGCUUCCCUUCCCCUAUUUAUUGGCUGUGUAAUGUUAGCAAGUUACUUAGCAUGCCUGGGAGAAAUAAUAAGUAGCAUAUUUUAGUUAUUGUUAUUUUUCCUGUAAUUUGCUUGGGUUCAGCUUUAGUGUAUAGUUUGCCACGACUUAACAUCAGUAGAUCCAAAAGAGUCUUCCAAAAGAAUUUUAAAACUUAAUGGUCAGGCACAGUGGCACACGCCUGUAAUCCCAGUGGCUCAGGAGGCUGAGACAGGAGGAUAGCGAAUUCAAAGCCAGCCUCAGCAAAAAGCAAGAUGCUAAGCAACUCAGUGAAACCCUGUCUCUAAAUAAAUUACAAAAUAGGGCUGGGGAUAUGGCUCGGUGGUCAAGUCCCCCUGAGUUCAAUCCCCUGUACCCCCUCUCCCCCUAAAAAACUUAAGGAACAUCUAGUGAUUCUAAUUUAGAUGUCUUUUUUCAGAUGAGGAAACUGAGGC